rnacentral:rRNA from 1 species
GAAUAUUGGACAAUGGGCGAAAGCCUGAUCCAGCCAUGCCGCGUGUGUGAAGAAGGUCUUCGGAUUGUAAAGCACUCUAAGUUGGGAGGAAGGGCAGUAAGCGAAUACCUUGCUGUUUUGACGUUACCGACAGAAUAAGCCCCGGCUAACUCUGUGCCAGCAGCCGCGGUAAUGCAGAGGGUGCAAGCGUUAAUCGGAAUUACUGGGGGUAAAGGGCGCGUAGGGGGGUCGUUAAGUUGGGUGUGGAAUCCCCGGGCUCAACCUGGGAACUGCAUCCAAAACUGGCGAGCUAGAGUAGGGCAGAGGGUGGUGGAAUUUCCUGUGUAGCGGUGAGAUGCGUAGAUAUAGGAAGGAACACCAGUGGCGAAGGCGACCACCUGGGCUCAUACUGACACUGAGGUGCGAAAGCGUGGGGAGCAAACAG